UACGGGGGGAGCAAGCGUUGUUCGGAUUUACUGGGCGUAAAGGGCGCGUAGGCGGUCAGCACAAGUCAGUUGUGAAAUCUCCGGGCUUAACUCGGAAAGGUCAACUGAUACUGUGCGACUAGAGUGCAGAAGGGGCAACUGGAAUUCUCGGUGUAGCGGUGAAAUGCGUAGAUAUCAAGAGGAAUACCUGAGGUGAAGAAGGGUUGCUAGGCCGACACUGACGCUGAAGCGCGAAAGCCAGGGGAGCAAACGGG
rnacentral:rRNA from 1 species